rnacentral:rRNA from 1 species
CCUACGGGGCGCAGCAGUGAGGAAUAUUGGUCAAUGGGCGGGAGCCUGAACCAGCCAAGUCGCGUGAGGGAAGACGGUCCUAUGGAUUGUAAACCUCUUUAGGCGGGGAGCAAUGCCGGGCACGCGUGCCCGGAGGGAGAGUACCCGCAGAAUAAGCAUCGGCUAACUCCGUGCCAGCAGCCGCGGUAAUACGGAGGAUGCGAGCGUUAUCCGGAUUUAUUGGGUUUAAAGGGUGCGUAGGCGGGCUUUUAAGUCAGCGGUAAAAAUUCGGGGCUCAACCCCGUCCGGCCGUUGAAACUGGGGGC